CAUCUGUAGAGGUAGUCAUGGGUGGCAGCAGCCAGCUUGCCAUGGAGGAGUCGGUGGAUGAAGUUCUGUGGCCUGCAAUCUGCAGAAACCAUCACCUGGAAGGAGGCUGCCACAGAAUGCUGCUGUCUUAUGGGGGAGGAGCCUGGAGCCCCAGCCUUGGCCCCUACAGGCUGCUCAGGAGCCCACUUGACAGCUGGGACUCAGCUA